CAGUAGCCUCGGUAAUACGGAGGGUGCAAGCGUUAAUCGGAAUUACUGGGCGUAAAGCGUGCGUAGGUGGUGGUUUAAGUCCGUUGUGAAAGCCCUGGGCUCAACCUGGGAAUUGCAGUGGAUACUGGGUCACUAGAGUGUGGUAGAGGAUAGUGGAAUUUCCGGUGUAGCAGUGAAAUGCGUAGAGAUCGGAAGGAACAUCUGUGGCGAAGGCGACUAUCUGGGCCAACACUGACACUGAGACACGAAAGCGUGGGGAGCAAACAGGAUUAGAUACCCGCGUAGUCCCUGUCUCUUAUAC
rnacentral:rRNA from 1 species